CUCUCGAGUCUCGACGAAGCGAGGAAGGGAUAGAAUCCCCCCAAAUCCCCCAACGCGAGCUCCAAACCCUAGCGCCGCAAAGGCGGGCGACGGUUUCCCUCUCCUCGAUCCGCCGCGCGGGGCUCCGGUGUUGAAGCCCGCACCCUCCCCGCGGCGGCGGUUGCGGCGCGGGCGAGAGGGAGGGGGAGAGAGGGGCGCCUCUCCUCUCUCGGCGGGAGGGUUUCUCGAUCUGGAAGGCUCACACCUGGCGGCUCCUCGGUGCCCCGCGCCCGGAUCUGCAGCGAUCUGGGAGGGGGCGGCUCCGGCGAUGGCGAUCCUGGCGUGGUAGCGCCCGCCCCCACAAUUCGGAGGCCUUCCCCCGGUUGGUGUGGUGGAGGGAGGGAGAGGGCGGGUUUCUCUUCGUGCGGGCUCUUUACCUCCGGUGGUGGCUUCUUUGGCGGCUGCGUUUUAGGAGAGCGGCCGCCCGGCAGGGCGGCGGAGACACGAAAGUGCUGCUUGCUUGUACACUUGUUCAUGUGUCUAUCUGUUUUCUCGAUUUGUUCCGGUUUAAAGCAUCAGUUUUCCGCUCAAUUUAAGGGCGAAGGCAAAAUUUUUUGUUAUUUACUGCUGUUCUCUAUCGAAUAAUCUGCUCUAUUACAGAAGAAGAGGGGGGGGGGGAAAAGCCAACAAAAAAAAUAGAAAGAAAAACAAAAAAAAUAAAAAGAUAAAUUCAG
rnacentral:sRNA from 1 species